UACGUAGGGCGCAAGCGUUGUCCGGAAUCAUUGGGCGUAAAGCGCGUGUAGGCGGUUCGGUAAGUCCGCUGUGAAAGUCGGGGGCUCAACCCUCGGAUGCCGGUGGAUACUGUCGGGCUUGAGUACGGAAGAGGCGAGUGGAAUUCCUGGUGUAGCGGUGAAAUGCGCAGAUAUCAGGAGGAACACCAAUUGCGAAGGCAGCUCGCUGGGACGUUACUGACGCUGAGACGCGAAAGCGUGGGGAGCAAACAGG
rnacentral:rRNA from 1 species